rnacentral:rRNA from 1 species
GACGAACCGUGCGAACGUUAUUCGGAAUCACUGGGCUUAAAGGGUGCGUAGCUGGUUGCCAAGUCUGUGGUGAAAUCCUCCGGCUUAACCGGAGAACUGCCGUGGAUACUGGCGACCUCGAGUGGGGUAGGGGCUUGCGGAACUGUGCGUGGAGCGGUGAAUGCGUUGAUAUGCACAGGAACUCCGGUGGCGAAGGCGGCGAGCUGGACCCUAACUGACGCUGAGGCACGAAAGCCAGGGGAGCGAACGGG